rnacentral:lncRNA from 1 species
AAUGAAAUAGAAGAUUUAACAAGUUAAAAAAUAUUUAUAAGUCAAGACAAAACUAUAUGCUAUAAUUUUUUAGUUUACUAACUAUAUCUAAUUAUCCAGAACAAUUUAUCAUGAAAGUUGAGGGGCGCAAGUUCAAGUUCUACCGCUAUCUAAAAGUUGGUGUUAAGACUUUAGUUUUCCUCUUAUUAAUAGGUAAGGGAAAAUUAAGACUUUAAAUUCUCUCCUAUUAAUAGGCAAGUGUUAAAAGGAGAAUUUAAAAAAAAAAUCCGUGCAAAAAAGUGAACUCUCUAAAUUAUUGAAGACUAGCGUAAAUAGGAGAAUUAAAAAAAAUCCUUGAAAAAAAGUGAAGUCUCUAAAUUAUUGAAAACUAAAAGAGUUUGCGAGACUAAUACUUGUGUCUCAAAUUAUUGAACAAAUUUACACAAUUCUUUUAGCUACAAAAUAUUAAUGUCACUGACGACUACAUUUUGUUACACAUAUUUUUCGUUAUAAGAGAUGAUAAACUAUCCAAGAAUGUUAAAAUUUGCAGGAAUUUAUUAGUGCUAAAAAUACGAUGUCUCUGCAUAACGAACGUCAUUAUGUUCACCAAAAGAAUAAGAAUCAAAUAGCAAAUAAAUGUGUUUUAAAAACAAAAUAACUUGGUCAAAAAGUACAGUAAUAACUAAAACAAAAUAUUCAAUUACUAUUUUUAAGAUUUUGUCACUAUAGAAUUAUUUGUGACAAAAAAUUUGGGUGCAUAAUUUAGAGAAAGCCAAAAUAAUUUUGGAGACUAAUAUUUUUGUCAUAGCUUAUUUCACCAAAUUUAUACUUUUUUUUAGUUGAUAAUUUUUUGUCGCCUCUAAUUAUUUUUCAUCAUCACAUUUUUUUUGUCACAACUGAUAAUUAAUUGUUUGGAGGGAAUUUUUUUCACUAUAUAUAUAUAUAUAUAUAUAUAGGGUUUAGGGUUUAUGGUUUAGCUUUGGUAGAAAGACUGGGGUUUAGAUAUAUCCCAUGGUUUGAAAAACCAGCCUUUCGGGAAAAUCUUUGAAAUUGCCUGAAAUGGAUCAGAAUGAUAAAACCCAUCCUCAAUAGUUAAAACAUUUUGUUGAUAAGCUUUAUUAAACCAAUCCGAUGAUUUUUGUGAAAGCUACUCUGAUACCAGUAGGAAAUAAGAUCGAAGGAUGGAUGUGUUUUAAGAAGAUUUAAUAAUUUUAACUUUAAUAUGCUCUUGACAAAUAAGAAUUAGUUUAGUACGUGGCGUUGUUACCAGAUCGAUGCAAAGCAUAUUAAAGGUUUUCCAGCUGAUAUACCAAAAUAAUGUUAAAACUAUGAUUGUGUUCUUUAAUCAAGCCUAGCAACAAAGUCUAAAGGCUCAUAGAUAAUAUUAGAUCUGGAUCCCAGAAGUAGUAUUCUGAUUGAAUGGAUACCAAUGUAAUAUUUGUCACAAAAAGUUGAAUCAAUGACCAAUUAAUGCAUCCCAAAAUAAGAAUUAUUGGUUAGAAAAUAUAAUAUAAAUUAGAACUAG